rnacentral:rRNA from 1 species
UACGGGGGGAGCAAGCGUUGUUCGGAUUUACUGGGCGUAAAGGGCGCGUAGGUGGCGCCGUAAGUCGGGUGUGAAAUUUCGGAGCUUAACUCCGAAACUGCAUUCGAUACUGCGGUGCUUGAGGACUGGAGAGGAGACUGGAAUUCAUGGUGUAGCAGUGAAAUGCGUAGAGAUCAUGAGGAAGACCAGUGGCGAAGGCGGGUCUCUGGACAGUUCCUGACACUGAGGCACGAAGGCCAGGGGAGCAAACGGG